rnacentral:rRNA from 1 species
GACGAACGCUGGCGGCGUGCUUAACACAUGCAAGUCGAACGGUAAGGCCCUGCUUUUGUGGUGUGCUCGAGUGGCGAACGGGCGAGUAACACGUGAGUAACCUGCCCUUGACUUUGGGAUAACUUCAGGAAACUGGGGCUAAUACCGGAUAGGAGCUGCUGCUGCAUGGUGUGGGUUGGAAAGUUUCGGCGGUUGGGGUAGGACUCGCGGCUUCUCAGCUUGUUGGUGGUGUAGUGGUGUCCACAGGCUUGGGCGGGUAGCCGGACUGAGAGUGUGACCGGGCACAGAGGGACUGAGAAGGCGGCAGGAGUCAUACGGGAGGAAGAGGUGGAGGAUAGUGCGAGAUGGGCGGAAGCAGGGUGGAGGGACGCCGCAUGCGAGAUGACGGCCUUCGGGGUGGAAACAGCUUGAGAGUGGGAAGAAGAGUGAGUGACGGUAAUGGGUAAAGAAGCACCGGCUAACUACGUG